AGCACUCACACAAACUGAAGGGCCCGGUCUCACUCCUACCGUGCCCCCCACAACAGCCCUGAGUCUGUUUCCAGGUGGUGGGCGAGAGGGGUUUGAAAAUUUGCCCCAGGCUAUCCGCCUCCCAGCUGGGCAAGAAAAGGGCGUGGUUGUUCCCCCACUGAGGAGUCUGCACACCGGAUUUGCAUCUUCCCCUGAGUUCUGGCCUGGAGGCUUCUCGCCCCUGCAAAUUGUUACAAAGUUCAGCUAGAGGGUUCCUUCUUCCUGUGGAGUUUUACCUUCUGCUCCUCUGGCCACCCUCCUGAUGGAUCCCUGUGGUGCCAGGCAGGAAUGACCUGCUUAAGGACCCAGCGAGCUCCCAGGACCUUUCUGCUGCUUCCUCUACCCGUAUAUUUUGCUUGCUUCUCUACAUUGACUCAGCUCCAGCGAUUCCUGAGGAAUCUCAUCCACACUACCCUAUGGACUAAAAGGAAAAGCUCUUCAUGUGGUGUUAGCACGGAGAUGAGAAAGAGAGAAAGACAACAUCAUGCUUUGCUGUCUGUGUGUGAACUGAGUAACAGCUGUGAAGGAUCAGUCACCAAAAGACUUUGAAAGAAGAGGCUUGAUUGGUCACGGUAAUGAUGCUCCCCUGGCCAUGGAAGUUUAAUUGGGAGAAAAGAACAUCUGCUUAUACGAAAACAUAUUAUAUUCAGCCAUCCCUGCCCUGACUUUGGCCUUUAAAAACAGUGGCAUUAAUUAUCUCAACAAAUGAAUCUUCGGGAUAAAAAUAAUCUAAAUAUUAUUUUACGCUUACUACAUAUUUGCAACGUGCUAAGCUCUUUAUGGUUGCUACCACAAAAAACAUUUAUAAUAUGAGGUUGUUUCCGUAUUUUGGCUAUUGUGAAUAGUGCUGCAAUAAACAUGGAAGUGCUGAUAUAUCUUUGAGAUCUUGACUUCAAACAAAAGAAGAAAAUCUUGCAAUAUAUGACAACACGGAUUAACCUGGAGGACAUUGUGCUUAGUGAAGUUAGCCAGUCACAGACUGACAAGUACUGCACGAUUCCACUUAUAUGAUGCCACUGAAAGGUAAACAUACCAUUCUGACAUGCAUGAAAAUGAAACGACAAAUUGAUACACGCAGUGCUUGGAAUGGAUGGAGUCCUUCUAAUGAGUGAUUACCUGUGGUAUAACUAUAUUGAUUGUGUUUGUACAUGUCAAAUGGGGCUGGCGAGGAUGAACUUGAAGAAAUCAAUCUUGGAACCUGCUAGGACAGCAGCCUCCUGGUUUCACAGUACUAAAUCAUGACUUCAAAAUUUUGAAGUAAAAGAAAACUGCAAAACUUUGUAAAGGUACCAGUCUCUUCCUGACACUAUUUGCCUUGGCAAAAGAUUCACUGUCAACUUAAAAGACUAACAUGUGCUCAGAUGAUGAUUUGUGGAGGACAGAUAAUUAUGAGUACAUUUAGAAAUACACACUCUUCCAAACCCUGCUCUUUCCAUAUAAUGAAGUUAUUUAUUUCUAUUUUUUAUUUAUUUUUCUAAUAAUUACAAACAUACUUUGGAGACCCACAUUCCUGUAUUAUUCUUUCAACAUACUGAAGAAGAGUUAUUUCUAUGCUUCUUUCUAUGUGUUGGGCUUAAGAUUUAUUAGAAGGAAUGUGUAAAAACAAAGGCAGCAAAGUUUCUAUUUUUAUUGGGAGUCACUCCCGGAGUAAGUGGGGAUAGUUGUGCACACACACACACACACAUUCAUGCACAAAGAAAGAGUGAUCAAGUGUAUAACACACUUUUAGCAGUGUUUUGCUGGAAGAAUAAAGUAUAACUCCUUGUCCGCCCUUUUAUUAUACUGGGGUUCACACUAAGAGAGUCUGAGGACCUGUGGAACUCCCAUUUGCAUGAAAUAACUUUUGCAUCUAUUCUGGAGGAAAACUUCCUAAGGCAGAUUUGGACAGAAAAUUGCUAUCAGCGCAAAUAAAACAAUGCAAAGCCUACUCCGGGGAACGUUGCUCUGCCACCACUACUGAAAUGGGUCAUCCCCUUGGUUUCUGAAUAAAGAAUUAUGAAACCUGGGGCUAGAAUGCUCAGGGAGGAAUUUACCAAUCCAAAUCUUCCCCUUAUGGUAGAGAACAAACUUUCAAGGUUUGUUCUCCACUGUAAGUGUGCGAGGGCUGUUAGGGACCGUAAUAUGGCUGCCGGAGACUGGUGUGUGUACCUCCUUGACUGUACGUCUCAUUUCCAGUUAUGAUUUUACAAUCAUCUCUUUCUCAACCUUUGCUUUUAAAUAUAGGAAGGUACGGCUCACCAUGGAGCGGACAUUUUCUUCAGGAGCGGUACGGUGUCUAAGAUAUGCAGAGGUUGUAUUCUAGUCCUAUAACUCAAUUCUCAAACACAUGGCUUUUAGCCAGGGAUAUCCUAAAGGAAAAUUACACUAUAUGCAACCCCUCCUUACUCCUCAAAUAUUAUCUAUAUUAAACACAGCUGAAAUUUGAGAGUGUCCUUACAGGUGAAAAUUUAACAAUUUAACAAAAGGACACUGCUGAAUGUGUGGGGACAAAGGAAGGAUGAAUCUUUCAUCAUGACAAAAGACUACUUGCCACAUUCUCCCUUAACUUAGAAAAACAGAAAAGAGGCUGGGCGUGGUGGCUCCUGCCUGUAACCUCAGCACUUUGGGAGGCUGAGAUGGGUGGAUCAUUUGAGGUCAGGAGUUCGAGACCAGCCUGGCCAACAUGGUGAAACCCCGCCUCUACUAAAAAAUUCAAAAACUAGCCAGGCAUGGUGGCGGGUGCCUGUAGUUCCAGCUACUCAGGAGGCUGAGGCAGGAGAAUCUCCUGAACCCAGGAGGCGGAGGUUGCAGUGAGUCGAGAUCACACCACUGCACUCCAGCAACAGAGCAAGGCUCUGUCUGUCUCAAAA
rnacentral:lncRNA from 1 species